AUUUUAUUCACUGGGCUUAGCAGGUAAUUUGCAUCUGAUUUACAAAUGUUGUGGCCAACUUAGUCAGAGGUCAGUAUCCAGGGUUACUAGAUCAGGAGUCUUUCUAAGCAUCUUCUCCUUACAUCUCCACGACCUUCACAUUAUCAAUCAAGGGUGGCGAUCCAACAGGAAGAGUGUUUAAUUCAUUCCUACGACGUCAGGGUUGGCAGCAGAUGGACAGACUGCCUGGCUAUUGGGAACUUCAUCUCUGUCAGUCUCCCGUCUGAUACCAACUUUGCCAAGCCUGACGAGCACAUCGCCAGGAUUGCAAAAUCUCUAACUGCUUAUGAAAGCACAACUGGACCUGCUGAAUUUUCACACUGCAGGACAAACCUGUUCCUCCUCACCUGCCUGCCAAGAGGUUUACAAACACUUUUGACGAUCGUUCCCCAAACUUGAGCACA
rnacentral:lncRNA from 1 species